rnacentral:rRNA from 1 species
AGGGCGCAUGGCGGAUGCCUUGGCUCUCGGAGGCGAUGAAGGACGUGAUAAGCUGCGAUAAGCUUUGGGGAGGUGCAAAUGACCUUUGAUCCAGAGAUUUCCGAAUGGGACAACCCAAUAUCUUGAAGAGGUAUUAUCCAACGUUGUUGGAGGCUAACGCAGGGAACUGAAACAUCUUAGUACCUGCAGGAAAAGAAAAUAAACAAUGAUUCCCCCAGUAGUGGCGAGCGAACGGGGAACAGCCCAAACCAUCCAUGUUACGGCAUGGGUGGGGUUGUAGGACUACGCCGUUGCAUGAAGACAUCAGAGAAGAACUUUCUGGAAAGAAAGACCAUAGAGCAUGACAGUUGCGUAUUCGAAUGUUGUCGAAGCAUAGUAGUAUCCUGAGUAGCGCGGAGCACGAGGAAUUCUGCGUGAAUCUGCCGGGACCAUCCGGUAAGGCUAAAUACUCCCGAGAGACCGAUAGCGAACCAGUACCGUGAGGGAAAGGUGAAAAGCACUUCGAACAGAAGAGUGAAAUAGUUCCUGAAACCGUGCGCCUACAAGCGGUCGGAGCUCGUUAAUGAGUGACGGCGUGCCUUUUGCAUAAUGAACCUACGAGUUGCCUUUGCCGGCAAGGUUAAGUGUGACGACACACGUAUCCGAAGCGAAAGCGAGUCUGAACAGGGCGUAUAGUCGGCAGUGGCAGACGCGAAACCAAGUGAUCUACCCUUGGCCAGGUUGAAGGCUGGGUAACACCAGCUGGAGGACCGCACCAAUAAGCGUUGAAAAGCUUCUGGAUGAGCUGAGGGUAGGGGUGAAAGGCUAAUCAAACUUGGAGAUAGCUCGUACUCCCCGAAAUGCAUUUAGGUGCAGCCUUUAUUUAGUAUAGCAUGAGGUAGAGCGACUGAUUGGAUGCGAGGGCUUCACCGCCUAUCAAGUCCAGAUAAACUCCGAAUGCGUGCUAUAUAUUGAUAAGGAGUGAGGGCGCGGGUGCUAAGGUCCGCGUCCGAGAGGAGAAGAAUCCAGACCAUCAGCUAAGGUCCCCAAAUAACAGUUAAGUUGAACUAACGAAGUCGGACUGCAGAGACAGCUAGGAUGUUGGCUUGGAAGCAGCCAUUCAUUUAAAGAGUGCGUAACAGCUCACUAGUCGAGCGAUCUGGCGUGGAUAAUAAUCGGGCAUAAACGAUCUGCCGAAGCCGUGGAUGUCGCAAGACAUGGUAGGGGAGCAUUCCAUGCUGCGUCGAAGAUGAGGGAUGACCCUUGUUGGAGCGCAUGGAAAAGCAAAUGUAGGUAUGAGUAACGAUAAGGGGGGCGAGAAACCCCCCCGCCGAAAGACCAAGGUUUCCUGAUCAACGCUAAUCGGAUCAGGGUGAGUCGGGACCUAAGGCAAAGCCGAACGGCGCCGCCGAUGGAAGAAUGGGUUAAUAUUCCCAUACUGCCUCAUGGAGUGACGUGGAGACGGAGAAGUGACAGUCCUGCCGGCUGACGGAAUAGCCGGUUGAAGGGUGUAGAUAUUGAUUCCCGUAGGCAAAUCCGCGGGGAGAGUCGAACCUGAGAGUAUACGGAGCGCUUGCGCAACGUAAUAUGGACGUAACCAUGCUCCCGAGAAAAUCCGCUAAACUUAUCCAUGCGGCACCCGUACCGUAAACGGACACACGUGGUCGGGUUGAGAAUACUGAGGCGCUCGAGUGAUUCACGGUUAAGGAACUAGGCAAAUUGACCCUGUAACUUCGGGAUAAAGGGUCCCUACUGAGAGGUAGGGCGCAGAGAAUAGGUCCAGGCAACUGUUUAACAAAAACACAUGGCUGUGCGAAAUAGAAAUAUGAAGUAUACAGCCUGACACCUGCCCGGUGCUGGAAGGUUAAGAGGAGAUGUCAUCGCAAGAGAAGCAUUGAAUUGAAGCCCCAGUAAACGGCGGCCGUAACUAUAACGGUCCUAAGGUAGCGAAAUUCCUUGUCGGGUAAGUUCCGACCUGCACGAAUGGUGUAAUGAUCUGGACGCUGUCUCAACCGUGAGCUCAGUGAAAUUGUAGUAUCGGUGAAGAUGCCGAUUACCCGCGAUGGGACGAAAAGACCCCGUGAACCUUUACUAUAGCUUAACAUUGAAUUUGGGUAAUUGAUGUGUAGGAUAGGCCGGAGACUUUGAAGCAGGUACGCCAGUAUUUGUGGAGUCGCUGUUGAAAUACGGCCCUUUGAUUAUUUGAGUUCUAACUCGUUGAUGCGAGGACACUGUUUGGUGGGUAGUUUGACUGGGGUGGUCGCCUCCAAAAGUGUAACGGAGGCUUCUAAAGGUGCCCUCAGGACGAUUGGUAACCGUCCGUAGAGUGUAAUGGCAUAAGGGCGCUUGACUGGGAGACAGACAAGUCGAUCAGGUAGGAAACUAGAGCAUAGUGAUCCGGUGGUUCCGCAUGGAAGGGCCAUCGCUCAAAGGAUAAAAGGUACUCCGGGGAUAACAGGCUGAU